AUAUCAUCAGCAUUAUCUAAAAGAAAUAUCUGUUCUUAUCAGCUUAAUAUCUGUAGUAUCUGCAUAGCAGAUCCCAGUAUAUUAAAAACUGAUUUUUGGAAAUUGGCGGAAUGUCAGGGGCUUGCUCCGCUUCCGCCGCGGGUUGGCCCGGUAUUGCAGAGUACCGCCGGGAUCGGCCCAUAAAAA